GCGCAGCAGUCGCGAAUCCUCCGCAAUACACGAAAGUGUGACGGGGCCAUCCCGAGUGCCGUCCGCUGAGGACGGCUUUUCCCCAGUGUACACAGCUGGGGGAAUAAGGAGAGGGCAAGCCUGGUGUCAGCCGCCGCGGUAAUACCAGCUCGUCCGAGUGGUGGGGACGCUUAUUGGGCCUAAAGCAGUCCGUAGCCGGCUGGGCAAGUCCUCCGUU
rnacentral:rRNA from 1 species